UACGAAGGGGGCGAGCGUUGUUCGGAAUUACUGGGCGUAAAGGGCGCGUAGGCGGCCGAUCAAGUUAGAUGUGAAAGUCCUGGGCUUAACCUGGGGACUGCAUUUGAUACUGAUUGGCUUGAAUUCGGGAGAGGAUAGCGGAAUUCCCCAGUGUAGAGGUGAAAUUCGUAGAUAUUGGGAAGAACACCGGUGGCGAAGGCGGCUAUCUGGACCGACAUUGACGCUGAGGCGCGAAAGCGUGGGGAGCAAACAGG
rnacentral:rRNA from 1 species